CCUACGGGGCGCUGCAGUGGGGAAUAUUGGACAAUGGGCGAAAGCCUGAUCCAGCCAUGCCGCGUGUGUGAAGAAGGCCUUCGGGUUGUAAAGCACUUUCAGUGGGGAAGAAAGCCUUGGGGCUAAUACCCUCGAGGAAGGACAUCACCCACAGAAGAAGCACCGGCUAACUCCGUGCCAGCAGCCGCGGUAAUACGGAGGGUGCGAGCGUUAAUCGGAAUUACUGGGCGUAAAGCGCGCGUAGGCGGUCUGAUAAGCCGGUUGUGAAAGCCCCGGGCUCAACCUGGGAACGGCAUCCGGAACUGUCAGGCUAGAGUGCAGGAGAGGAAGGUAGAAUUCCCGGUGUAGCAGUGAAAUGCGUAGAGAUCGGGAGGAAUACCAGUGGCGAAGGCGGCCUUCUGGACUGACACUGACGCUGAGGUGCGAAAGCGUGGGUAGCAAACAGGAUUAGAUACCCCUGUAGUC
rnacentral:rRNA from 1 species